rnacentral:lncRNA from 1 species
GUUCUCUUUCCCUCUUUGUACAAGAGCUAGCUUUUGAGGAGAGAGAAGUGACAGGGAAAUUGUUCUUCUGGAAGGAUGGAAUGUCAUUCCCAUGUAACUUCCUCUUCCAUUUCAGUUCCUCCAUGAUGCCCAAGAGUGAGAAUGAAGAAGAGAUUUUCCUCCAGACUCCUGUGAGCCAGAAUAAGUAUGACUGACUUCUUCAUAUUCCUGGGUCAUAAGCACUUCAACUUGCAUUAAGUGUUUUGUCUUUUGUUUUCUCUUCAGUUGCCUUAGUUUUCUUGUACUUGACUAUUGUUACCCUGAGCUUGUUAGGUGUACCUUAAGUCCCCAGGGCCUGUUAAGGGCUUCUAUUACAACUUCCAAGACAUGAGAAUUUUUAUUCAUACUAU